rnacentral:rRNA from 1 species
CCUACGUGGGGCUGCAGUCGAGAAUCAUUCACAAUGGGGGAAACCCUGAUGGUGCGACGCCGCGUGGGGGAAUGAAGGUCUUCGGAUUGUAAACCCCUGUUAUGUGGGAGCAAAUUAAAAAGAUAGUACCACAAGAGGAAGAGACGGCUAACUCUGUGCCAGCAGCCGCGGUAAUACAGAGGUCUCACGCGUUGUUCGGAAUCACUGGGCGUAAAGCAUGCGUAGGCGGUUUCGUAAGUCGUGUGUGAAAGGCGCGGGCUCAACCCGCGGACGGCACAUGACACUGCGAGACUAGAGUAAUGGAGGGGGAACCGGAAUGCUCGGUGUAGCAGUGAAAUGCGUAGAUAUCGGGAGGAACACUCGUGGCGAAGGCGGGUUCCUGGACAUUAACUGACGCUGAGGCACGAAGGCCAGGGGAGCGAAAGGGAUUAGAUACCCCAGUAGUC